UCCAGUUGACUGACAGUCGAGAGGCGGAACUAAAGAACCGAAGCUCAAUCCCCGCAAGAACAACUUGGUCCCAUCGCAAUUCUUUAUUAUCGUUACAUUUAAAAAGAAAAUACAUUUAUAAUAAUAUGUUUCAAAUAAUUUAAGGCCUACUUGCAAUACGAUAUAAGAGAUGUUUAAGAGAUACACAGGAGUACAUAUUUACCGGGCCGAGAAGGCCAACAAAUAUUGUGGCCAUUGUCUCGCCGCUCCGCUCAGCUGUGUGUACUGUAGCCGGCCGACUCUCUCACCUUCUUCAACAACAACAACCCUCUUGAUCAUGAUUGAGAAAGCUCUUGGUUUGUUGCCCAUUGGAAGGCGACAAGUGCAGCAGUUACAGGCAUGGAUCCCCUCUGCAACAUUUUUUGGGGCUGGAGCUGCAACCCUUGGCCUUUAUUUUACUGACUGGAAAGCAGUUGCCAGAUUUAUUCCUUUUUAUGGUGGCAAGUUCAAAGAAGA